rnacentral:rRNA from 1 species
UACGUAGGGGGCUAGCGUUGUCCGGAAUCAUUGGGCGUAAAGCGCGUGUAGGCGGUUCGGUAAGUCCGCUGUGAAAGUCGGGGGCUCAACCCUCGGAUGCCGGUGGAUACUGUCGGGCUUGAGUACGGAAGAGGCGAGUGGAAUUCCUGGUGUAGCGGUGAAAUGCGCAGAUAUCAGGAGGAACACCAAUGGCGAAGGCAGCUCGCUGGGACGGUACUGACGCUGAGACGCGAAAGCGUGGGGAGCAAACAGG